GGGCUUGAACCUCUUUGGCAGCUUUUGUAUCUUUUAUCAUAGUCAUUACAUUUGGGGCAUCCAUAACCUCUUUCAAACUAUGUUUGUAUCCCGAGGUUGUAUGGACAAGAAUUAUGCGUGACUUAUUUUCUAUUAUAGGUCUUAGUUGCUUCCUCUCGGCUUCCAACAACAGGUGACGAUGAAACUGAUCCUUGGUGAAUC
rnacentral:misc_RNA from 1 species